GGCACUGGCCCAACUGAUAUGACGUGCUUGCACUGAUUUGACGAUGGAUUACCAGUGAGCGGCGGACGGGUGAGUAACACGUGGGCAACCUGCCCUGGAGCGGGGGAUAACAUUUGGAAACAGAUGCUAAUACCGCAUAAUAGUCAAAACCACAUGGUUUUGACUUCAAAGAUGGCUUCGGCUAUCACUCCAGGAUGGGCCCGCGGUGCAUUAGCUAGUUGGUAAGGUAACGGCUUACCAAGGCAAUGAUGCAUAGCCGAGUUGAGAGACUGAUCGGCCACAAUGGAACUGAGACACGGUCCAUACUCCUACGGGAGGCAGCAGUAGGGAAUCUUCCACAAUGGGCGCAAGCCUGAUGGAGCAACACCGCGUGAGUGAAGAAGGGUUUCGGCUCGUAAAACUCUGUUGUUGAAGAAGAACGUGCGUGAGAGUAACUGUUCACGCAGUGACGGUAUUCAACCAGAAAGUCACAGCUAACUACGUG
rnacentral:rRNA from 1 species